UGCCACGGGCAGGGACACCUCCCCCUACAGCAGGCUGCCCAAAGCCCCAUCCAGCCUGGCCUUGAACAUCUCCAGAGAUAGGGCAUCCACAGCUUCUCUGGGCAGCCUGGACCAGUACCUCACCAUCAUCAUAGCGAAGAAUUUCCUGCUAAUAUCUGAUCUAAAUCUACCUUUUUUUUUUUUAAAGCAAUUGUCUCAG